CUGUGAAUGUGUUUUAUCGCUCU
rnacentral:snRNA from 1 species